rnacentral:tRNA from 1 species
GGAGAGAUGCGAGAGCGGUCGAAUCGGGCGGUUUCGAAAACCGUUGUGGGGUAACCCACCGGGGGUUCGAAUCCCUCUCUCUCCG